CCCCUCUCAGGUCACACCUGGAGAGUUUCCAAUACUCUACCAGUCUCGACUAUGGGAGGGAGAGUCAAGCAGAGGCAUAUCCAUUCCUGUCCUAGCUUGGGCAGUGUCUAGUGAGUGGAAGGCAAUCUGCUUCAAGU
rnacentral:snoRNA from 1 species